GGUGGCUCAGUGGUAGAGCACUUGCCUUGCAUGCUCAAGGCCCUGGGUUCGAUUCCCCAGCACCA
rnacentral:tRNA from 1 species